AUUGAACGCUGGCGGAAUGCUUUACACAUGCAAGUCGAGCGGCAGCGCGGGGCAACCUGGCGGCGAGCGGCGAACGGGUGAGUAAUGUAUCGGAACGUGUCCUGUCGUGGGGGAUAGCCCGGUGAAAACCGGAUUAAUACCGCAUACGAUCGAGAGAUGAAAGUGGGGGACCGCAAGGCCUCACGCGAUAGGAGCGGCCGAUAUCUGAUUAGCUAGUUGGUGGGGUAAAGGCCCACCAAGGCUUCGAUCAGUAGCUGGUCUGAGAGGAUGAUCAGCCACACUGGGACUGAGACACGGCCCAGACUCCUACGGGAGGCAGCAGUGGGGAAUUUUGGACAAUGGGGGCAACCCUGAUCCAGCCAUUCCGCGUGAGUGAAGAAGGCCUUCGGGUUGUAAAGCUCUUUUGUCCGGGAAGAAACGGUUUCACCUAAUACGUGAGACUACUGACGGUACCGGAAGAAUAAGGACCGGCUAACUACGUGCCAGCCGCCGCGGUAA
rnacentral:rRNA from 1 species